AGCAAAAUGAUCAGUUUUUGGAUCUGAGAGUCAUGUGAAUAUCAUAUUAUGGUUUGUAAAGUUCUUUGAUUGCU